GUUUGACUGGGGCGGUCGCCUCCUAAAAUGUAACGGAGGCGCCCAAGGGUUCCCUCAGAAUGGUUGGAAAUCAUUCGAAGAGUGCAAAGGCAUAAGGGAGCUUGACUGCGAGACCUACAAGUCGAGCAGGGACGAAAGUCGGGCUUAGUGAUCCGGUGGUACCGAAUGGAAGGGCCAUCGCUCAACGGAUAAAAGCUACCCUGGGGAUAACAGGCUUAUCUCCCCCAAGAGUCCACAUCGACGGGGAGGUUUGGCACCUCGAUGUCGGCUCAUCGCAUCCUGGGACUGAAGUAGGUCCCAAGGGUUGGGCUGUUCGCCCAUUAAAGCGGUACGCGAGCUGGGUUCAGAACGUCGUGAGACAGUUCGGUCCCUAUCCGUCGUGGGCGUAGGAAAUUUGAGAGGAGCUGUCCUUAGUACGAGAGGACCGGGAUGGACAUACCUCUGGUGUACCAGUUGUCGUGCCAACGGCAUAGCUGGGUAGCUAUGUGUGGACGGGAUAAGUGCUGAAAGCAUCUAAGCAUGAAGCCCCCCUCAAGAUGAGAUUUCCCAACUUCGGUA
rnacentral:rRNA from 1 species